CCUACGGGAGGCAGCAGUGGGGGAUAUUGCACAAUGGGGGAAACCCUGAUGCAGCGACGCCGCGUGUGGGAAGACGGUCCUCUGGAUUGUAAACCACUGUCCCCAGGGACGAAGAUGACGGUACCUGGGGAGGAAGCUCCGGCUAACCACGUGCCAGCAGCCGCGGUAAUACGUAGGGAGCAAGCGUUGUUCGGAAUGACUGGGCGUAAAGGGUGCGUAGGCGGUUAUACAAGUUAGAAGUGAAAUACCCAGGGCUUAACUCGGGUGCUGCUUCUAAAACUGUAAGACUUGAGUGCAGUAGAGGUUAGUGGAAUUCCUAGUGUAGCGGUGGAAUGCGUAGAUAUUAGGAGGAACACCAGAGGCGAAGGCGGCUAACUGGACUGCAACUGACGCUGAGGCACGAAAGUGUGGGGAGCAAACAGGAUUAGAUACCCUAGUAGUC
rnacentral:rRNA from 1 species